UACAGAGGUGGCAAGCGUUGCUCGGAAUUACUGGGCGUAAAGGGCGCGUAGGCGGUCUUGUAAGUCUCGUGUGAAAUCCCUCGGCUUAACUGAGGAACUGCACGGGAUACUGCAUGACUUGAGGUCGGGAGAGGGAAGCGGAAUUCCGGGUGUAGCGGUGAAAUGCGCAGAUAUCAGGAGGAACACCGGUGGCGAAGGCGGGUCUCUGGGCCGAUACUGACGCUGAGGAGCGAGAGCGUGGGGAGCGAACAGG
rnacentral:rRNA from 1 species